rnacentral:rRNA from 1 species
AGCUGUCCAGCACUGGACUGACGCUCAUGCACGAAAGCGUGGGUAUCGAACAGGAUUAGAUACCCUGGUAGUCCACGCGGUAAACGAUGAUAACUAGUUAUUCGGCCAGAUUGGUGGCUGAGUGACCGAGCGAAAGCGUUAAGUUAUCCACCUGGGGAGUACGCCGGCAACGGUGAAACUCAAAGGAAUUGACGGGGGCCCGCACAAGCGGAGGAACAUGUGGUUUAAUUCGAUGAUACGCGAGGAACCUUACCCGGGCUCAAACGCAUCGUGCUACGCCCUGAAAGGGGCGGUUCUUCGGACGCGAUGCGAGGUGCUGCAUGGUUGUCGUCAGCUCGUGCCGUGAGGUGUCGGCUUAAGUGCCAUAACGAGCGCAACCCCCAUCUUCAGUUGCCAUCGGUUGAAGCCGGGCACUCUGGAGAGACUGCCGGCGCAAGCUGUGAGGAAGGCGGGGAUGACGUCAAAUCAGCACGGCCCUUACGUCCGGGGCGACACACGUGUUGACGGGCGGUGUGUACAGAGGAAGCCAACGUAUUGACGCGGCGCAGAUCCCGAAAACCCGUCUCAGUUCGGAUCCGAGUCUGCAGUCCGACUCCGUGA